GAGGUCUACAACAGUGUGGUCUACAACAGGUCUAAAUAAUGUGACAAGUGUGGUCUACAACAGGUCUAAAUACAUGUGACAGUGUGGUCUACAACAGUGUGGUCUACAACAGGUCUAAAUACAUGUGACAGUGUGGUCUACAACAGGUCUAAAUACAUGUGACAUUGUGGUCUACAACAUGUCUAAAUAUAUGUGACAGUGUGGUCUACAACAGUGUGGUCUACAACAGGUCUAAAUAUAUGUGACAGUGUGGUCUACAACAGUGUGGUCUACAACAGGUCUAAAUAUUUG
rnacentral:lncRNA from 1 species